rnacentral:rRNA from 1 species
CCUACGGGAGGCAGCAGUGGGGAAUAUUGCACAAUGGGGGAAACCCUGAUGCAGCGACGCCGCGUGAGUGAAGAAGUAUUUCGGUAUGUAAAGCUCUGUCAGCAGGGAAGAAAAUGACGGUACCUGACCAAGAAGCCACGGCUAACUACGUGCCAGCAGCAGCGGUAAUACGUAGGGGGCAAGCGUUAUCCGGAUUUACUGGGGGGUAAGGGAGCGUAGACGGCAGGGCAAGUCUGGAGUGAAAGGCGGGGGCUCAACCCCCGGACUGCUCUGGAAACUGCCAGGCUGGAGUGCAGGAGAGGUGAGUGGAAUUCCUAGUGUAGCGGUGAAAUGCGUAGAUAUUAGGAGGAACCCCAGUGGCGAAGGCGGCUUACUGGACUGUAACUGACGUUGAGGCUCGAAAGCGUGGGGAGCAAACAGGAUUAGAUACCCUGGUAGUC